rnacentral:rRNA from 1 species
ACGGAAGGCAGCAGUGGGGAAUAUUGCACAAUGGGGGAAACCCUGAUGUAGCGACGCCGCGUGAGUGAAGAAGUUAUUCGUAAUGUAAAGCUCUAUCAGCAGGGAAGAAAAUGACGGUACCUGACUAAGAAGCCCCGGCUAACUACGUGCCAGCAGCCGCGGUAAUACGUAGGGGGCAAGCGUUAUCCGGAUUUACUGGGUGUAAAGGGAGCGCAGACGGCUUUGCAAGUCUGAUGUGAAAGGCAGGGGCUCAACUCCUGGACUGCAUUGGAAACUGUAGGGCUAGAGUGUCGGAGAGGUAAGCGGAAUUCCUAGUGUAGCGGUGAAAUGCGUAGAUAUUAGGAGGAACACCAGUGGCGAAGGCGGCUUACUGGACGAUAACUGACGUUGAGGCUCGAAAGCGUGGGGAGCAAACAGGAUUAGAUACCCUGGUA